AUACGGAGGACGCAAGCGUUAUCCGGAUUCAUUGGGUUUAAAGGGUGCGCAGGCGGCCGUGCAAGUCAGCGGUGAAAGCCCGGGGCCUAACCCCGGAAGUGCCGUUGAUACUGCAUGGUUUGAAUGCGGUCGAGGCGGGCGGGACGUGGCGGGUAGUGGGGAAAUGGGUAGAUAUGCCACAGAACGACGAUAGCGGAGGCAGCUCGCCAGGCCUGCAUUGACGCUCGGGCACGAAAGCGUGGGGAUCGAACAGGAUUAGAUACCCUGGUAGUCCACGCCGUAAACGAUGGGCGCUCGUCGUCGGCGGCAGACAGUCGGCGGCCAAGCGAAAGCGAUAAGCGCCCCACCUGGGGAGUACGGUCGCAAGGCUGUAACUUAAAGGAAUUGACGGGG
rnacentral:rRNA from 1 species